rnacentral:rRNA from 1 species
AUUGAACGCUGGCGGCAGGCCUAACACAUGCAAGUCGAACGAGUGGCAUACGGGUGAGUAAUGUCUGUGAAACUGCCUGAUGGAGGGGGAUAACUACUGGAAACGGUAGCUAAUACCGCAUACCAUCAGAUGUGCCCAGAUGGGAUUAGCUAGUUGGGGGGGUAACGGCUCACCAAGGCGACGAUCCCUAGCUGGUCGUAGAGGAGGACCAGCCACACUGGAACGGAGACACGGUCCAGACUCCUACGGGAGGCAGCAGUGGGGAAUAUUGCACAAUGGGCGCAAGCCUGAUGCAGCCAUGCCGCGUGUAUGAAGAAGGCCUUCGGGUUGUAAAGUACUUUCAGCGGGGAGGCGGUACCCGCAGAAGAAGCACCGGCUAACUCCGUGCCAGCAGCCGCGGUAAUUC